rnacentral:lncRNA from 1 species
CCGCCAUGCGCGCGCGCGCAUUGGGAUUUGGGAAGGAUCGGAAUCGGAGGCAGCAUCGACCCGCCGUGAUCCCCUCACCGGCCGACCUGCCGCGAUGCGAUAGAUGGGCAUUCGGAUUAGGGCAUGUACAGUACAGUACUACGUGUCAUGUUACGUUGACGCGCAGCAGUACGUACGUGCGUGCUUAAUUGGUCCCGCGCG